AGGGCUACUAUCCUAUUAAUAGGAUAGUAGCACUUGUCCUAUCAAAUUGUUCUUGAUGAUAGAGAUUCCGAAUUGAUGAUCGGAGCCGUUGAAGUUGAUCUAGAGUAUUUGAAAUAUCUAGAAACUAAAUUUCAUAAAUUUUAAAAAUUAUUUACAUGAUGAUCAAAGUGUCGUAAAAUUGAUAAUUUUUGACGGCCUAUAUGAGCUGUUUGCUUGUUAACGGUGUAGAGCAAUCCAAAUUACUUAAAUUUUUGAUAGAAAAUUCUUUAUACUAUUUAGAUAAUGUUUGAUAACUCUGAUUAUGAAUUGAGAAAAUCUAACCUCUAUUUUAAGAAGGUUAUUCAUUUAUGACCGUUCAUUUUUUAACUCUUAAGAUGAACUUGAUAAUGAUUUUUAAAUAUUACAAAAUUUAGUUUCUAAACAUUUCUUAUAGUGUAGAUCAAUUUCAACGGUGCUGAUUAUCAAUUUGAAGUGUCGAUCAUUCAAAGCA
rnacentral:lncRNA from 1 species